ACUGGAUAAUCAAUAAUAAAUUGGUUUAACGUGGAAAUGUGCUCAUUAUAAUUUUAGAGUCUGGCGAUUAGCUUGGGUGCAGCUCUGCUGAGUGUCUGAGCUCAAGUGAUUUGGAGAUUGGUCAGGUUUUUUUCCCCCUUCUUUUGUGUACCCCCCUCGACCUCAUUGGUAUAUUCCGGAGCGGAUAUUCUGAUAGUCAUGAUGGCGAGCCUCCCACCUGGAUCAGAUGGAAAGGACUACACCUCUUCUGUGAUCACUGGAUUUUGCUUUGUGUGACCUACAGUGCGGUAGGCCAGAACUAAGAACACUGUCACUCAUCUGUGAGCACCAGCCCUAGCAACUAUUUAUUUUAUUGUGAAAGUUUUUGACCGACUUAGACUGACUUGGACUAGUUUUUUCUUUGACCUAUUUUAUUUAAUUUGCUACUCUUGGGUUGGUGUGGGACAGAAAGGAAACCCUCCUUUAAGACAUCUGAUAGUGAACUGAACUGCGAAUCCUACUCAUCAGCCUGAGUUGUUUGUGAACACUGAGAACAGGCAGUGAAAGAGAUUUUUUUUGUGAACAGUUGGCCAAAGAACAAACAAAGAACAAAAACCCGAGUCAUUAAGUGUCCACAUAUAUUGUAUUGUCUUAAUUAUUUGUGUUACUGUCUUUUAUUGUCUUUUAUAUAUAAAACCGGUAUAUGUUCAAGCAUCA